rnacentral:rRNA from 1 species
GACAGAGGGUGCAAACGUUGCUCGGAAUUACUGGGCGUAAAGCGUGCGCAGGCGGCUAUGCAAGACAGAUGUGAAAUCCCCGGGCUCAACCUGGGAACUGCAUUUGUGACUGCAUGGCUAGAGUACGGUAGAGGGGGAUGGAAUUCCGCGUGUAGCAGUGAAAUGCGUAGAUAUGCGGAGGAACACCGAUGGCGAAGGCAAUCCCCUGGACCUGUACUGACGCUCAUGCACGAAAGCGUGGGGAGCAAACAGG